rfam:Ovis aries breed Texel chromosome 17, whole genome shotgun sequence.
CCCCUGGUAGCUCAGAGGUUAAAGCAUCUGCCUCUGAUGCGGGAGACCCAGGUUUGAUCCCUGGAUCGGGAA